rnacentral:rRNA from 1 species
GAUGAACGCUGGCGGCGUGCCUAAUACAUGCAAGUCGAGCGAACAGAUGAGGAGCUUGCUCCUCUGACGUUAGCGGCGGACGGGUGAGUAACACGUGGAUAACCUACCUAUAAGACUGGGAUAACUUCGGGAAACCGGAGCUAAUACCGGAUAAUAUAUUGAACCGCAUGGUUCAAUAGUGAAAGACGGUUUUGCUGUCACUUAUAGAUGGAUCCGCGCCGCAUUAGCUAGUUGGUAAGGUAACGGCUUACCAAAGCAACGAUGCGUAGCCGACCUGAGAGGGUGAUCGGCCACACUGGAGCUGAGACACGGUCCAGACUCCUACGGGAGGCAGCAGUAGGGAAUCUUCCGCAAUGGGCGAAAGCCUGACGGAGCAACGCCGCGUGAGUGAUGAAGGUCUUCGGAUCGUAAAACUCUGUUAUUAGGGAAGAACAAAUGUGUAAGUAACUAUGCACGUCUUGACGGUACCUAAUCAGAAAGCCACGGCUAACUACGUG